rnacentral:rRNA from 1 species
ACGGGUGAGUAACGCGUGGGAACGUACCUUUUGGUUCGGAACAACACAGGGAAACUUGUGCUAAUACCGGAUAAGCCCUUACGGGGAAAGAUUUAUCGCCGAAAGAUCGGCCCGCGUCUGAUUAGCUAGUUGGUGAGGUAAUGGCUCACCAAGGCGACGAUCAGUAGCUGGUCUGAGAGGAUGAUCAGCCACACUGGGACUGAGACACGGCCCAGACUCCUACGGGAGGCAGCAGUGGGGAAUAUUGGACAAUGGGCGCAAGCCUGAUCCAGCCAUGCCGCGUGAGUGAUGAAGGCCCUAGGGUUGUAAAGCUCUUUUGUGCGGGAAGAUAAUGACGGUACCGCAAGAAUAAGCCCCGGCUAACUUCGUGCCAGCAGCCGCGGUAAUACGAAGGGGGCUAGCGUUGCUCGGAAUCACUGGGCGUAAAGGGUGCGUAGGCGGGUCUUUAAGUCAGGGGUGAAAUCCUGGAGCUCAACUCCAGAACUGCCUUUGAUACUGAAGAUCUUGAGUUCGGGAGAGGUGAGUGGAACUGCGAGU